ACAUACGACCAUAGGGUGUGGAAAACAGGGCUUCCCGUCCGCUCAGCCGUACUUAAGCCACACGCCGGGAGGUUAGUAGUUGGGUGGGUGACCACCAGCGAAUCCCUUCUGUGGUAUGUU
rnacentral:rRNA from 1 species